UUUGCUCAUUCUAAUUAUUCUCAACUCUUUAAUUUCACGUUGGUGCAAGUUGGGAUAUAGGCGGAGAUGGGCUUGAAACGUUGCUUUGAAGUGGAAGGGAAGAAUGCUUGACAGAAUGAUUAGGCCACUCCGAAAUAGGUUUAUCAUUAAACCAGGUCUUUCUUCAUAAUUUUUAAAAUCUUUUUUUCGAUUUGAAUCGCAUAAAUUUGACAGCUAUAUAUGUGUGUCUGACAGAAUAACCGUCUUUUUGUUUUGAGGUUUCCACUUUACAUAGGAAUAAGCUCGAACCGGAUUGAAUAACAGAAAAAUCGAUGUUAGUUUUGUGAUAUUUCGGAGAAUCUCUCAUAAUUAGAACCGUGCUGAAAUCGACAGUUAAAAUACAUUAUGAUUUUAACGAAUAAUCGAAAUUCUUCAUGGAUAAUAAGGAUAGACAAAUGGCACUUGAAUAACAUACUGAUGAACAGAAAAGAUUCGAAUUCAUAUUGCGGUGAAAUUAGAUAUUUGAUUCCCAGAGUCUUUGGUUUACUGCGUUUUCUUUAGAAUUGAGAUCGAUAUAAAAAAUCUACUGGCUCGUUGAAAAAUGUAAUUCCUUGAAAUGCGUAAUACAUACUUUUUCUCGAAUUACAUUUACUUACUCGUAGAGUGGCAAUAAAUUACUUGUAUAUUGGAAAUUAAACAAUAUAUUCUAAAAUUUCUAUAUCUCGUUUAAAACCUAUUUUUAAAUUUCACCUCGCGGUUCUUGCCAUCUUGGGUAGUAUUAAUUCCGUAUACGUAUGAAGCAUUUCGUUCUUCUAAACACCCCCCCCCCUCAAUAUUCAAAUUAAAAUCAACCUAUAAUAUAUGAAAAAUAUUGUGGAUUUCUUUCUUUUCUUUCUAUAUAUAAACUUAUUCCCCUACUAGACGUUACAACAUGGCAACUCGUACGGAAAAAAUCGUUCAAUUCGUGCUCGCGAAUCAAUUAAUCCUAAAGUGACUAGAUAUUUUUGAGGUGCAAUAAAGUAUAAUUUCUACUGAAUAAAGUAACCGAGUCUAUUUGAACAACUACAGGUCCAGAAAUUAUUACGAAUUUAGUUUGUCCCAUAUCAAAAUUCGAAAACAGAGGUUUGAAUUAUCUCGUGUACGGAAUGCGGAUGGAUUCUAAUUACCUUUUGAAUUGAAUGAAAGGAAGUAAUCGGCUAAAUAAGGGAUAGGAAAAGGCUUAGAAAUGUAAUCGAACUAAGCACUGGAGAUAUUGUCUUUAAAUGCAGCUAUUUUGAACGUAUAUGAAAAUGGGUAAUUUUCGUGUUGCAUUUCUCUAUCCUUAGAUGCAUAAAAAAAAAACUUAUUCUUCUCAUAAUGCUUAAACAAUUGGUUGCAGCUUUAAGGCAAAGGAAGUUGUUCCGUUAGAGGGCAAAUUUUUAUUUAAAAAAGUAAGAGUGGGAUAAUCUCUAAUUCGUCAUUUAAAAUUUAAACACUAAACUGCUAGCUGCCUAUUCGUAUAUUUUUAAACAUUAAAAAAGCCAAGACGCAUUGAAAUCUGAACAUUUGGUGUUUUGAUUGAAUAAGGAAGAAAUAAUCUCUGAAUAUUCUACAAAAGUGGCUUUCAAGUGACGAAAGUGCCCUAAUUAUGUAUAUUUUACUUGGUAUAGUCUAAUGAAAUAGGAAAGAGCCAUAGGGAUUGUUUUCUUGUGCCGUUUUUGAAAAUAUGCAGAAUGAAUAUUUAAUUUGAUAAGUUUCUGGGAUUAAAAUAACCUUACAGAUCAUUAAGCUGCCUUACUAGUACCAGGAAGAUUUUGGAUACAUCCGAUUUUUCACUCAUUUAAAAGAAAUGCAACCUCACAGAAAUUAACAACGAAACAAAUCCUGCAGUUGUUAGAGCAGCUGUCUACAGACUCUUCAGAUGUUUGUUGGAGCAAUGAAACAACGCCUUUCCCCAUAUGUGGAAUGACUGCCUUCUCAGCUCUUGGCAAAAAUUUUGUUGAUGGAAGCCAUCUGGAUGGCCAGGGGACUUCCUCUCGGUUCCGUACAUAAGUAAUAUCGUUUUUCUUAGGGUGGACAACUUAUCUGUGUCCAAAGCGCUGCGUCAAUCACCAGUACUGUUUUCUCGGUUCCAUGAACAUGCUAUCCAUCUAUACCGAUGCUGGAUGCGAGGAAGUAUUCUCUUAAGAUGCCAUCAAAAUAUAAGGAAAUAAAGGACACAGUUUUGAAGCGAUUACGGCACAACAGAUAACAUGGAGCUUCAAACGCAUAUUAGAAUUAGGAUCCUAUGGAAUUCGACUAACAGAUCAGAUUCAUUGGAUGAUUUAUAAAGCCUCAAAUAUUAGACUAAGCUUAAUAUAUCAACUUUGUAUAAAAAAAAUGCCGGAAUUUUAAAAAUCUGCACAGUGGAUUGAAAGCGAGAGAAAUAGUUAUAAUCUCUGCGUAUUCCAGGAAAGUGGCUUCUAAGUGACGAGUCUGAACUACGUUGAUUUCUUAGUCUGUAGAGGAGAAAACCAUGGCCAUUACUUCUUAAGCUGUUUUCAAAAGAUGAACAGAAAAAGCGAAUGAGAAUUUCAGUUUUUAGAGUAGUAAGAACUUUGGAGAUAUAUCAAUUUAAAUUACUUUACUUAUACCUGAAAGCAUUCUGACGGAAUACUCCGUUUACUCAUGAUGGAACGUCUUGUGAAUCGAAAGAUGCAGAAUCUCUUGCAAUUGAUAUUAGAGCAGCGCAUUCUGCAAAGAAUAGAGGCCAUUUAAUUGAACAACGGCUUAAUACCACUUCUCAUCUGUGCAGUGAAUAAAUACCAUUUUGGCUCCAGCCACAAAUUCUAAAUAUUGGAGAUGUCUGGAUUGGCGGAAAAAAUGAUACUGAAGCGAUAUCGGUAUUCAUAGGUCAGACAAUUUACGAUCAUUAUGGAUGCAUCUUUCUUGGGUAAAAGUGUCACCAUCAGUAAAAAGGCUUUUUCGGUUCCAGAUACAAGACGUCAACACUCACCAGUUUCCUUAAGAUAAUUUGAAGUAUCAAAUUAUGAUGUCUACAUGUUUUAACCCAAGUGAUCAUGGUACAAGAUACUAUUUGGAGCCUUCAACCUUGCAAUUCGGAGCCUUUUCAAUGGAACUAUGGAGAUCCAAUUUAUGCAGUUGAGUUUAUAAAAUUCAUUUUGGCUUCGCCUAAACUUAUUUGUGCAAAAAAUGAAUACAUAAAUGGGCUUCACGAUGGAAAUGUGAUAAUGUAUAUAAUCAACGUUAAUUGAUGAUAUCAAUACAUCUUUGAAAUGUUUUAUUCUAUUCUAAGAGCAAGAUACUGAAUAUUUAUAUAAUUUUUUCCAACUUUGCAAAGCUUGAAGUGUGCAAAAUAUCGGAUUCAAAACAAGUGUUUGGCAAUUCAAUCAAUAUUUCAUCUAAAAUUGUCUGGAAACUUUUAUUCUUAUACCAACUUUAAAAUAUUGGUCUUCAUUCAUUUUCUUCAAAUGUAAUACUUGUUGUUUUUUAAAUCUCUGAGAAAUAAGCAUUUUAAAAACAAUCGACACUGGUGAAAUGGCUUGUAAUAUGGACAACUUAAGAUUUGGUAGUGUAUUUAAUUUUGCUAGUAAUCUAAACCAACUUUCCAACAAGACAAUGAUUUAUAUUUCAGAUAAAAUUCGUUUUAAAUAUAGACAGGAAUCGCAAUUGUUAUGAAAUAAAACUAUUUCAUCUGAAUAGUGCAUUACUUCAUAAUUAUGAGUGAAAAAUGAAUCUUUUCGCCAUUAAUGACCUGUUACGAUUAUUUUUAAUCAAAUUACGAUUUAAUUUUGCUCUGUUAAUUAUUUUUUGUAAACUGAUCUGUCUUUAAUUUUACCUGCAGAUUUUUCAAAAUUAUUUGGCAUCAUUUUACACUGAAUGUCAAUGCUCGUGAAAACAUGAUCUUGUCCAUUUCGCUUUGUGAUUAUAAAAUGAGUUAUCAAAUAAUUCGAUAUGUUCUUAUGACCAUAUGCAUGAUUCUAGUAUAUUGAGGAAUUUUGCAUUUCAUAAAGAUUCUGAUAUUCGCCUUUCAAAUAUUUGUUAUACAUGUGGGAAAAUUAUUUUAUGCUUAAUAUAUGUAUAUUGUUUCAUACUUAAUUGCAGUGAUGUUUUCCAAGAUAUUAAAUUAAAAAAAUUUUGGUCUCAAAGUAAACUCUGAAAUUAUGGAGUUUGCUUUAAUAACCAUUAUAUGCAUGUUCGGCUAAUUUAAAAUAUACGAAUAGCAACUCCUGUCAAGAAAAAUGUCUAUUGUGUAUGGAGGAUAAAUUGACGUACUGUUAGCAUGCAUGUUUUUCUUGUAUUGUUUGAAAUUUCGAAAGUAUUUUCAAUAAAUAUUAAUCAAUCGUAAGUCGUAUUUACGCCCAUGAAACAGUUUGGUAUUUUAAAGAGACUUUUAAUGGUAACAUUAUAAAUUUUGAUAAUA